rnacentral:rRNA from 1 species
CCUACGGGGGGCUGCAGUGGGGAAUAUUGGACAAUGGGGGGAACCCUGAUCCAGCCAUGCCGCGUGUGUGAAGAAGGCCCUCGGGUUGUAAAGCACUUUCAGUGAGGAUGAACGCCUGGUGGUUAAUACCCAUCAGGAAAGACAUCACUCACAGAAGAAGCACCGGCUAACUCCGUGCCAGCAGCCGCGGUAAUACGGAGGGUGCGAGCGUUAAUCGGAAUUACUGGGCGUAAAGCGCGCGUAGGUGGCUUGAUAAGCCGGUUGUGAAAGCCCCGGGCUCAACCUGGGAACGGCAUCCGGAACUGUCAAGCUAGAGUGCAGGAGAGGAAGGUAGAAUUCCCGGUGUAGCGGUGAAAUGCGUAGAGAUCGGGAGGAAUACCAGUGGCGAAGGCGGCCUUCUGGACUGACACUGACACUGAGGUGCGAAAGCGUGGGUAGCAAACAGGAUUAGAUACCCCGGUAGUC